rnacentral:rRNA from 1 species
UUCCCUAGGUGACUAAAGUUGGGGACCGCAAGGCCUGACACUUCGUGAUGAACCCGCGGCCUAUCAGCUAGUUGGCGGGGUAAAAGCCCACCGAGGCUAAGACGGGUAGCUGGUCUGAGAGGACGACCAGCCACACUGGAACUGAGACACGGUCCAGACACCUACGGGUGGCAGCAGUCGAGAAUUUUUCACAAUGGGCGAAAGCCUGAUGGAGCGACGCCGCGUGGGGGAUGAAUGGCUUCGGCCCGUAAACCCCUGUCAUUCGGGAUCAAUGCGCCUGACCUAACACGUCAGUCGUUGAUAGUACCGGAAGAGGAAGGGACGGCUAACUCUGUGCCAGCGGCCGCGGUAAUACAGAGGUCCCAAGCGUUGUUCGGAUUUACUGGGCGUAAAGGGUGCGUAGGCGGUCGAGUAAGUCUGAUGUGAAAUCUUCGAGCUCAACUCGGAAAGCGCAUCGGAUACUGCUUGGCUAGAGGAUUGGAGGGGGGACUGGAAUUCUU